rnacentral:lncRNA from 1 species
GUUGUCUUUUGUUUCCCUAAAAUGUAUAAAACCAAGCUGUAGCCAGACCACCUAAGGCACACGUUCUCAGGACCUCCUGAGGCUGUGUCAUGAGCCUGUCUUUAACCUUGGCAAAAUAAGCUUCUAACUGAUUGAGACCUGUCUCAGAUACUUUUUGGUCUACAUUAUAAAUAAAACCAAACAACUGUAAAAUGGAGUCUAUCUUCUGGCCUUGACAAAUGUACCUUCAUAGAGAUCUGUGAGGCCAAGUUCAAAUGUAGACUUCUUGGACUCCUUGGAGUUCCAUGUGGUCCUGUGAGAAGAGACAGCAAUGCCCCAACCUGCCUUUGUAGGUGUGUGCUGAUCUGGGCACACAUCCUAGAAGGUUUGGUUUAAAAUAUAAUGAUAUAUUUUACCAAGUCUUGUGAACCAUCAGGCCUCCCUCAGGCCCGGACUGGGAAUUGCCAAUUUCGUUAGGUGUGACAGUAAUACUAUGAGAAUGUUUAAAAAAAUAGGCCUUACUAAUUAAACAUACUCGAGUAUUUAAAGGAGAAUUUAUCUACUGGGAUGCUUUAAAAUGGUACAGAUAUCUCUUCAAUAUCCUGGUUUCCUUUCUUUUGGAUAUGUACCCAUUAGUGGGAUUGCCGGAUCAUAUGCUGAUCAUGUGUGUGUGUGUGUGUGUGUGUGUGUGUGUGUGUGUGUGUGUGUUUCCCUUACCUUAAGGAGUUUAAAUCCCUGAUUUAGGUUCAAAUUUUUUUCCGGCUGUCCACUUCCCUGGUUGCUCAGGACAUCCAAGCCCUGCCUUUCUGGCAGAGGGAGCUGGGAAAAGUUAACCACCUCUCUUUGUUCCUGUCCAUAAGCCUUGGGCGUCUGGGUGCCUGUAGCAUUGCUCAGGUCACCGCUGGCCUUGGCAAGAACAGUUUGCAUCAGGAGAAGAGGAGGGGAGGUGAGAACACACUGUGGGCAUGAUUCUUUGUAUAGUUUUGCCAUGAAGAGGAGGAGGGGAAUGAAGUGAGAGAUAGCUUGAGGUCAAGGCUGGGUUUAUAGAGGCAGAUCCUAGAGCAAGUUUCUGUUCUCAUCAGAUGAUCCCACAGAGGUGGAGGGGAGAAACUGAGGAGGCAGGAGAGGGGGGUUCCUUGUAGGUGCGACCCCUUGAGAGAACCCUGGUAGGGUCCCAGACCUAGGGGAGACACUGGCCUUUCUGGUGCUCUUUUAAUCCUCUGUUUCCUCUUCUGCGUAAAGUGAUCGAUAAUAGUCUAGCCUUCCCACAGUCCCGUAAGGAUUAAAGAAGGUAAAGGCAUACUGCAUAGGUCAUCGGUAGCUGUGUCUGUUAUUUUUUGAAAAGAUUAGGGAUCUGGCAUUGCAGGGACCCCAUGAUCCCCACCCUGUUCUGCCAAGCAUCCUUCCUCCUCAUGGUUCUGGGGCUUCCACCCAGAGAAGCGGAGUGGGUCCUGGAGAGCCGGCAGAUAGCUCAGCUCUGUGUGGUACGGGUUCCUCCCAGUGUGGGCAGGGUCCAAGUCCUCCUCCUCUCCUUUCUUCUCCACUAGCUGUCUCUCCAUGAUCUCCAGGCUUCCAAUGUGAGCCUGGCUCAGUUUUACCAGCAUUGCUACAGAGGAUGUGAUAGGAAUUUAAAGAAAAUGGCUGGUCUGGCCUGAGGGG